rnacentral:rRNA from 1 species
UGCCAGCCGCCGCGGUAAUACGGAGGGUGCUAGCGUUGUUCGGAAUUACUGGGCGUAAAGAGCAUGUAGGCGGAUGAAUUAGUCAGAGGUGAAAGCCCCGAGCUCAACUUGGGAACUGCCUUUGAUACUGUUUAUCUAGAGUCCGAGAGAGGUUAGUGGAAUUCCCAGUGUAGAGGUGAAACUCGUAGAUAUUGGGAAGAACACCAGUGGCGAAGGCGGCUUUCUGGACCAAUACUGACGCUGAGAUGCGAAAGCGUGGGGAGCGAACAGGAUUAGAUA